ACGCCAUAGGCGUAGCCGCAAUGAGAUCGCCCAUGCGGCGCACGUCCCCUCUCCCCGCUUGCGGGGAGAGGGCUAGGGUGAG
rnacentral:sRNA from 1 species